rnacentral:lncRNA from 1 species
AUGGGGAAGCUGAAGAAGCCAUGGGAGACACUAUCAGAUCCCAUUCUUGCAAAUUCUAAGAGUCAAGUUCUAGUUUACAAUGAGGUGUCCAUGAUGUCAUAUAAAAAGUUUAUGCUAAGCAUAAACUCAGCAGCAUACAGGCCAUUCUAUCGGAGAGACUGUGCAAUUCCCUUUACUAUCUCAAGGAUAUUACAUCCAAAUUUGGAGAAGCAGAAAAUAAAAGGGAAACAUGAAAGCAAAUGACAAACAAAUAUGGAGACUUCAAGAACCAGCUCAACAAGAUGCAUAAUCUCAACAGUGGUUUUAGCCAUACCAGCUAUUUGUAUUAACUGUUAACCUAUUUAUUUAAUAAACAAUUAUCUAGUAAUUACUACCUGACACUAUUUCAAUGUACUUUUCAGACACUGAAUCAUUUAAUCCUAGUAUCAACCCUAUUCAGUAGGUGCUAUAAUUAUUUUCAUAUCUCCAUGUGAAGAUACUAAGGCAUGAGAAGGCUAUGUCACAAGCCUGGGGCCACAUAGCCUAAGUGGCAGAACCAGGGUUUGAAGGAAGUUUGGUCCCCAUGUCCUUGCUCUUUACCUCCAUAUCAUGCUGCCUCAUACAAAGAAUUGUUCCUCAUUACUCAUCUACAAUUAUUUAAAUUAUUUGCUUUUCAAAAUACACAUAAUUAAAUAAUUGGUCAAGUUAAAGUCUGUACUUCAAUCUGCCUUUAAUUUGACUAAGAUACCCAGGUAUCAGUGCUAGUUUUAGCCUUGAAACUAUCUCCAUUGUCAUCAUCAUAAUUUUUUUAUGACAUCUUAAGUAUAUUUCACUUGGUCACAUUAAAGCAAGAGUUUUCAAGCACUCACUAGCUGUCAAGUACCACUGAAUUUGUUUGGUAUAUAUUGUCACCACAUUACCUUUUUUUUCUUUUUUCUGAAAUCAUAGAGGAAAUUCCAAUAGGGAAGCAACUCUGCAAUCACUCCCAAAGAGCUAUACUUCCAACGGAACUUAUGUUAGAUGUCGAAAUGCAUUAUGUAAUAUUGUAUAACACAAAAUUUGCUUUUUCUGGUGCUCAAUUCAAUAAGCUUGAAAUAGAAAUCACACCACUGCCCACUUCAACAAUAGCUAAUAAGAAGAGAAAAUAGUUUUCUCUAAUGUGGACAUGGGCUUAAUAUGGAAAAGUUAAUGUGGGUAAUAAAGUCUCAGUGACAUUGAUCCAGAAUACAAACCAAGUAUUACUCAAGAAUUGUCCCUCUGUUUGAUUUCACCAUUCACUAAUGGCCAACCACGCUUAAAUCACUGAAUUCUGAUUAUUAGUUAUAUGACACUUACCAAUCUUAAUGUGACUAGUAACACACAAAAGCCAAUGAGAAGUGGAAAUAGUAAGAAGGCAUAAGAGCAGAAGGCAUAAGAGCAGAAACACCUGAAAAAUGACAUGUGAGUAAUUCAUUGAAUUUUUUUUAUUCUCCCUUGAGUCUCUUAACUAUCUUGUUUAUUUCAUCAAAGACACUUAUCAGAAUAUUAAUAUAACCCGCAAGUUAAAAAUAAGUUGUAUAAGUAAAUCUAGUUUUUGACAAUGUUGGCCAGACAGGCCUAUGCAGAAGAAAGUUACUGAAUGCUUAAAGCUAAUAUUUAACUUACUACCGCAAUUAACUUUAUAGAAUCAAGUGUGAUUGAGUUUCUCCCUGCACACCACUCCUGCCUCUCCAUUCUGAUUAAGGUAUUAAGCACUGCUAGUGUUAUUAGGUAAGCAAAUACAAUUUCAACUCAAUGGGGCUAAUUAUUAGUAAUAAGGUCAAUAAAUUUUAACUUUAUAUAAGCUGUUGAAAAAAAUACACUACUGAAAAUUAACUUCAAGUGGAGUACUGUGAUAAACCAUUGUUUAGAAAAGUCAUAGAAAUAUGAAAUCCAGUGGCUAUAAAAGAAAUCUGAACAGUAACCUCUCAAUAGGCAUCUUUACCUGCCUGUCUCUUAACUGGUCACUCCCACUCAAUCCAUCACAUCUAAUAGGUUCAACUUAUUAUGUUAUUAUUUUUUAAGCAUUAUUUUCAUUAUGGCAUUCUUAUUUUUGAAUUAUAAACUAACUCUUGCAUACAAAUAUAGAUGACAAUAUUUAAAAAAAAAACCAGACACAUAUCUACAACCAAGCUGAACAGAAAUAAUUACUAACAAAAUAUAAGCCCCUCUAUAUAUUUGUCUCUAAUUUCAUUCUCCAUUGAUAGCAGAUGUAAUCACUCUUCUAUUUGCAUAGACCAUU